rnacentral:lncRNA from 10 species
AAAUCCUGGGCUGGAAGCCAUCCUGAAGUUGUCUACCUUGCAGUGACUUGAUUUCAGCUUUCAUCCACUCCCCUGGCUGGAUCUGUCAUUUUCAGUUCUGGGGAAUAGUAGAUGGCCAUAUUUGGGGCGGUCUUCGUUCUGCCUACCACUGAAGGCUAAAUGUUAAUCCAAAGAACAAAAUGGAAGAGAAAGUAAAAAAUGCAACACUGAGGAUUGAAAAUGUGUUUUAAUUCACAAUGAUACAAAAGAAGGAGAUACCACACACACAGAGGAAAUUCUACGUAACAAGGAUUUACCAGAAGAGUGAAGCCCCGAACUACAAGCCAUGACCUACGACAUUCCUCCCUUUGGGAAGUGUUCCCAUGUAACAUCCUUGAGUAGGUUGUCCUCUGGUCCUGCAUUCUGCCUCAGUGACACCCAUCAUCUACAUCUGGAUUCCUUAUUAUUGUCUUCUACAUAGUUUUAACAACAUUGUGAUUAAAUUUCUCAUGCUUUCAGGAAAGUCCAUUGAUGUUUUAUGCUUGGUAAUUUGUAUAAUUUCUAAGUUUCUUCUCAUGUACCACAAGGUCAUCCUCACAGGGACACCUCAGGAAUUCUAGUGCUGGCUCAGC